AUGGCUAAAAUUUUAUUUUUUUUGAAUUUAUUUUAUUUUAUUUAUAUUGAUGUAUUUACUUAUUUAUUUAAAAGAUUUUAUUUAUUUAUUUGACACACAGGGGUGGGGGAACACAAGCAGCAGGACUGGGAGAAGGAGAAGCAGGCUUCCCACUGAGCAGGGAGCCAGACGUGGGGCUCAAUCCCAGGACCCUAAGAUCAUGUCCUGAGCAUUAUGCAGACUCUUAGCGACCGAGCCACCCAGACACCCUAAAACUUUAGAAUGAAAACUGUAAGAUCUCUUUUUGUGUCUGUCUGCAUGGUUUAUAUAUGUUUCUAUAUGUAUGUUAGAGUUGUGUGGUAUUUUUCUGCUUCUGGAUGAUAUUACCAGUUCUUGUCUGUUUUGUUUUCCAGAUUAAGGAAAUAUUUUUUUUUCCUCUUUUCUCUCAAGCUAUCUAUAACUUACCUUAAGUUGGCAAAUCACACUUCUGUAAACAGAAACAGAAACAGAAAAGUGGUUGCCAGGGGCCACAGGUUAAAAGGGUAUAAACUUUCAGUUUUGAGAUGAAUGAGGUCUGAAGACCUAAAAAAUAACAUGGUGAGUAUAGUCCAUAAGAUUGUAUUCUACAACUGAAAUUUGCCAAGAGAGUAGACCUUAAAUGUUCCCACACACAAAAUAGGUUAACUGUGUGAGGUGAUGGGGUGUUAAUUCGCUUGAUGGGGGAAUUGUCACAAUGUAUCUGUGUAUCCAAGCAACACCUGUAUACUUUAAAUGCCUUAUGAUGUGUCAGUUAUACCUCCAUAAAGCUGACCUCAAAAUCACAAGACAAUCUUACCAGUGGUGGGAAAAAACUGACUUAAAUCUGCAUCACAAACUUUGCGCUUAUUUACUGUACUUUCCCGGGCUGGGAAUCCCCACUCGUCCAGGCUCGAUUGGAACCGAAGCUCAGGUCUACACUCAGGGCUCCUGUUCUUCUAUUGUAGUAGUUCCUGAAUGAAAUUUGCUGUCACCUCUUUACCCUGUGUCUGAUUCUGGUUUUCUUUGACACCAAUAACAUCUGGAAGUACUUGCUUUCCUUCUUGGCAAGAUCCACUAACCAUCUCUUUUUUCCACUGAAUUUGUUU
rnacentral:lncRNA from 1 species